CAAGACUCGCAAAAGCUCUUGGCUCAAGGGAAACAUGAUUCUAGUCUGGCCUGGCCCAUGUCCCGUUUUCAGUCUGGCUCAACCCCGCUGUUAGAAGGCACUUUCUAUCACAGAAUAAAAAAAUGUAUCUUAGCUCUCUGCAAAUAGCACAUGGUGGCAUGGAGAUUGCUUCUGUAGGUUGGUUCACAGAAAUGAACAAGAAAUAAGGCCAUGUGUAACAUUAAAACUAGGCCAGUAGAACACCGAUGUCUAUAUGAAGAGAGGAACUGCAAACUUAUUCCAGGAUCUGAUAUAAAUUUGGAGUAGGGACACUAAGGAGGUUUUAUGUCUGA